UCCCCGCUUGUCCCGUCCAAACGUUCGGCAUAAAACAUGUUUGAAGUCAACAUUAUGACAUUUAAGUAUUUUUUAAGCUAACGUUUGUUGUUUUCGGUGACAUGGACGCGGAUCGGUGACGUCAUUUUUGCCCUUAAUGGCUGCCGUCUCUCGUGUGAUAGGACAAGGACGUUUAUUGGACAAAGUAUGGACAGAACUGUCAGGCAGGAUGGAAUACACAGUGAGGACAAAUGAGAAGAACGGGAAAAAACUAAGACAGCCUCAUCUCUUCGCUCUUUACCUCAUAUCGACUUUCUCUUGCUCCGUCUGUCUCACUCUUUUUCCGUCUCUCUCUCUGAGCUCCUGUCUCUCAUUUAGUGCUGUCAGCAUACUGUCCAUACUUUCUCCUACUCGUGUUUUUAUUGGGGUGUAGCUCUAUACGUAGCUUGUUCGCUCUCUCAGGACAGGUGGGGAGGUGUUACCGUAGGUCUUGGGACCAUUUUAUCUGACCUGGUCAAUUUCGUCCAAUAUUUUUGAUAAUUCGCUUUUCCGUUUGCGCCGAGAACACUCCAGUAUUGACGCCAACGCUCUGCAUUUCUUUUCAUCCCCAUCUCUUUCUCAUCUGUCCACCCCCCCUUCUCUCUUUCUCUCUUUCCUCUCAUCCUCAAAUUCUCAAACGCUGAAUCAGCUGCUUGGGAACGGACGCUCCCCCUGCCUCUUGGAUCCACAAACAAGCUGCUUCUCCCUGGUUCUACAAUGUCCUUCUCCUUUCCUGAGUUUGGGAUUCUGGCACACACAGAAGUCUCAUCCUAAAAUGCUUUGCUAAAGCUGGUAAAAUGGAACCAAAUCAACUGUUUUAUGGAUUUGGUCCCCUUCAACCAGCUGUAGCUGUGCAUUGAUCACCCCGUAGAGCUGUGAUGAAGAAAGGGAGGCGUUCAAAAGCACAAUAUUUGAUUGUGCGUGAAGUUCACAGUGCAGGACCGGCUGUUGAAUGCAUGUUCCUUUAAGCACUAAUAUCAUGAUUAAACACUCUUUGUCCUCUUAAAGCCUAGGUGAGUAGUAUAUAUGCCAUGUCACUUAUUAUUUAUGAGCUAUAAUUGUUGAUUAUGUAUUCAAGCCAAAUCACUAUCAUUGGAAAGAGGGCUCUGGGCUCUUUAUGGCUGCCCAUUGAUUUCUUGUCUCUCUGCUGAAAGAGUGAGGGGAGGGUGGGGGUGUAGAAGAUGAGGGAGUAGGUGCGUGUCAAGCUGUUGAAUAAGUAAAACAGUCGUUCCUUUUCUCUCUCUUUUCCUUCUACACUUGUCGUGAUUCUUAAUGCACAUGGCUGAUCAAUAAACGCUCAUCCUGAAGUUCA